rnacentral:tRNA from 1 species
GGGGAUUUAGCUCAGUGGUAGAGCGCUUGCCUAGCAAGCACAAAGCCCUGGGUUCGAUCCCCAGCUCCA